GAUGAACGCUGGCGGCGUGCCUAAUACAUGCAAGUCGAGCGAACAGACGAGAGUGCUUGCACUCUCUGACGUUAGCGGCGGACGUGUGAGUAACACGUGGGUAACCUACCUAUAAGACUGGGAUAACUUCGGGAAACCGGAGCUAAUACCGGAUAAUAUUUAGCUUCGCAUGAAGCAAUAGUGAAAGACGGUUCUGCUGUCACUUAUAGAUGGACCCGCGGUGUAUUAGCUAGUUGGUGAGGUAACGGCUCACCAAGGCAACGAUACAUAGCCGACCUGAGAGGGUGAUCGGCCACACUGGGACUGAGACACGGCCCAGACUCCUACGGGAGGCAGCAGUAGGGAAUCUUCCGCAAUGGACGAAAGUCUGACGGAGCAAUGCCGCGUGAGUGAAGAAGGUUUUCGGAUCGUAAAACUCUGUUGUAAGGGAAGAACAAGUACGUUAGUAACUGAACGUACCUUGACGGUACCUUACCAGAAAGCCACGGCUAACUACGUG
rnacentral:rRNA from 1 species